UUAUUAUAAUUACACAAAAUUCCAUACAAAUAAAUCAAUUUUUACAAAAAUAGGAUCGAAAACAAAUCAAUCUUUACCUUUAAAUCUCCAUCUCCCAAAGCCCUUCUCCGUUCUUCCAACUUCCUCUUCAUUUCCUCUUUUUUUAGGGAUAUUCAAUUAAGAGUUAAUGAUACAAAGAAGCAGUAAAUAAUAUAUUAGGGUAAAUUAAUUUGGUUGGCCAUGGAAUGGCACUGUAUUGUAUCAGGAUUGAACUGAUUGUUAUUUUGAGAGGCAACUAUUACAUUUGAAGUUUCUAAGCGGUCAGAAAUGAAAUGCUGGUACACAGCAAGAAGGUCAGUAAUCAGAGUCCAAAAAGGCAAAAAAAAAAAACAAACUAAAAGACAAAACAAAUCCAGAAACCUUU